rnacentral:tRNA from 1 species
GGAGAGGUGACAGAGUGGUCGAAUGUGGCGGUCUCGAAAACCGUUGUGCCUUAUGGGUACCGUGGGUUCGAAUCCCACCCUCUCCGCCA